AUAAACUCAUCAAAUAGGAGGUAUUACGUGUCAUUACAAACCUGGAUGCUCUUCAGCCUUCACAACUACAACACUACUGCAGCUCUGCAGAAGAACAGCCGCGAAGAAAAACCCAGAUGCCUAAUGCAUAAGUUUUCUGGCGCUGUUCUGUCAUCUCCAAAGCCUUCAGCAGUUGUGCAUUCUCAACAUAGAGAUCCUUGACCAUUGCAUCUGCUUUAGUGUUCUUGGAAAGCUGAAUUAUGAAUGAAACAAAAUUACUCAGCAAGUUAAAAGCAGAAGAAAAAUUAAAAAAUAAUAAAAAGCAAGAACAGUGCUGGGAAUAUAGGUAAUGUGUUCAUUGUAACGUAUUAGAGGAAGACAACCCACCCAUUCAUGCUAUUUUCAUUUGUCAAAAGCUAUACAUUUGUGAAGUCCUUAUGGAUGCUGUGAAUGUUUUGGAACUGGAAAGACUUUGUAAGGAUCUUGAAAGCUUGCGCAGAUGUUGGCGUGCUUCAAAUGACUUGUCUGUCAGAUGAGUACUGCUUUACAGCAUUUAUCCUCUAAGGACUGGUCUACUUCACGUACCCUGUGAUCCCACAGAGAUACUUCCCCAGAGGUUUGGACUGCCAGCUCCCCCUAUAAAAUUAGGGAGAGCACCUAGCACUUGUCUGCAUGCUUUUGGGAACAGCCCUUUGGCAGGAGGCCCUGUCAGUGUAGCACUUCCUUAACAUGAGAGAGGAGACUGUACCGCAGUAGAAAACAGAUAUUCUCCCCACUGUUAUCAUGUCAUGCCUUCUUAAGUGUUCAGAAGCCAGCUUUUCCUACGCUACCGGAAACUUCUGAAGAAGGCAAACCAGGGCAAGAAUGGAAACCCCAAAAUCAUGUAAAGCAAAGGGCGUAAUGGGGCAGUGGAUGUGGAAAAAUCCAUUAUUGUACACUAAUCCCAUCUGUAUUCUUCAGGAAAUUCUUUUCCCUCCUUUUCUAAGCAACUUUUCUAGUUAAGAUACUUGGCCCAAAUUUGGCGUUUGUUUCCCAACUUUAAAUGUAUCAGCAUACCAAACGUGCAUGGCUUUCAGGAAAUUAAUGAUUAGUGAAUUUGGUCCCCAGUUUGGAUUUUGGGGAAGUUUGGGGCACAUAUGCUGUACUUCAGCUCAGAUGUAUUAAAAGAGAAAGGAAAACUCCUUUAACUUUCUUUUCAGCAAGAAUGAUUUUGGCGGCUCGCCUAAUUGUUUACAGAAGCAAUGGGGAAGAUUUGGGA